CAUGCAAGUCGAGCGAUGAAACACCUUCGGGUGUGAAUUAGCGGCGAACGGGUGAGGAACACGUGAAGAAUCUGCCUUCAACUCUGGGAUAACUCCGGGAAACCGGGGCUAAUACCGGAUAUGAGCCUCGAUCGCAUGAUUGGGGCUGGAAAGUUUUUCGGUUGAAGAUGACUUCGCGGCCUAUCAGCUUGUUGGUGAGGUAAUGGCUCACCAAGGCGACGACGGGUAGCCGGCCUGAGUGGGCGACCGGCCACACUGGGACUGAGACACGGCCCAGACUCCUACGGGAGGCAGCAGUGGGGAAUAUUGGGCAAUGGAGGAAACUCUGACCCAGCGACGCCGCGUGAGGGAUGAAGGCCUUCGGGUUGUAAACCUCUUUCAGUAGGGAAGAAGCGAAAGUGACGGUACCUACAGAAGAAGCACCGGCUAACUAUGUGCCAGCAGCCGCGGUAAUACAUAGGGUGCAAGCGUUGUCCGGAAUUAUUGGGCGUAAAGAGCUCGUAGGUGGUUCGAUACGUCGGAUGUGAAAAUCAGGGGCUCAACCCCUGACCUGCAUCCGAUACGGUCGAGCUAGAGUUUGGUAGGGGAGACUGGAAUUCCUGGUGUAGCGGUGGAAUGCGCAGAUAUCAGGAGGAACACCGAUGGCGAAGGCAGGUCUCUGGGCCAAUACUGACACUGAGGAGCGAAAGCGUGGGGAGCGAACAGGAUUAGAUACCCUGGUAGUCCACGCCGUAAACAGUGGGCGCUAGUUGUGCGAACCUUCCACGGUUUGUGCGACGCAGCUAACGCAUUAAGCGCCCCGCCUGGGGAGUACGAUCGC
rnacentral:rRNA from 1 species